rnacentral:rRNA from 1 species
AAACUAACAAGGAUUUUCUUAGUAGCGGCGAGCGAAAAGAAAAUAGUUCAGCACUAAGUCACUUUGUCUUUAUGGCAAAUGUGAGAUGCAGUGUAUGGAAUGUCAAAUUUCUAGUAUGAGAAAUUAACGAUUUAAGUCCUUCUUAAAUGAGGCCAUUUACCCAAAGAGGGUGCCAGGCCCGUAUAACGUUAAUGAUUACUAGAUGGCAUUUCCAAAGAGUCGUGUUGCUUGAUAGUGCAGCACUAAGUGGGUGGUAAACUCCAUCUAAAACUAAAUAUAACCAUGAGACCGAUAGUAAACAAGUACCGUGAGGGAAAGUUGAAAAGAACUCUGAAUAGAGAGUUAAAUAGUACGUGAAACUGCUUAGAGGUUAAGCCCGAUGAACCUGAAUAUCCCUUAUGGAAAAUUCAUCAUUAUGAUUUUAAUAUUAAUAAUAUUAUAAUAAUGGUGUGCAUUUUUUCUAUAAAGGACAUUGUAAUCUAUUAACAGUUUAUUCAAAUUAUUUUGCUUGCAAUUUAAUAUCGAAUAAAUUCUUUUGAUUUGAUAAAGCGUUGAUAGAUUUAUUAUAUACAGUGCUUAAAUAUUUAUAUUUUAUAAUAUCAUAUUAAUCAAUGAUUUUUAUGUUCAUUAUAUGCACUUGUAUGAUUAACAAUGCGAAAGAUUCAGGAUACCUUCGGGACCCGUCUUGAAACACGGACCAAGGAGUCUAACAUAUUUGCAAGUUAUUGGGAAUAAAAACCUAAUAGCGAAAUUAACAUAACUUUAAUGGGAUUAGUUUUUAUUCUAUUUAGUCUAUUAAUUCAAUCCCGGGGCGUUCUAUACAGUUAUGUAUAAUAAUAUUUAUAUUAUUUAUACCUCUAACUAGAGCGUACCUUGAGCAUAUAUGCUGUGACCCGAAAGAUGGUGAACUAUACUUGAUCAGGUUGAAGUCAGGGGAAACCCUGAUGGAAGACCGAAACAGUUCUGACGUGCAAAUCGAUUGUCAGAAUUGAGUAUAGGGGCGAAAGACCAAUCGAACCAUCUAGUAGCUGGUUCCCUCCGAAGUUUCCCUCAGGAUAGCUGGUGCAUUUAAAAAUUAUGUAAAAUAAUCUUAUCUGGUAAAGCGAAUGAUUAGAGGCCUUAGGGUCGAAACGAUCUUAACCUAUUCUCAAACUUUAAAUGGGUAAGAACCUCACCUUUCUUGGUAUGAAGGUUGUGGUUGUGAUAUAAUGUGCCCAGUGGGCCACUUUUGGUAAGCAGAACUGGCGCUGUGGGAUGAACCAAACGUAAUGUUACGGUGCCCAAAUUAACAACUCAUGCAGAUACCAUGAAAGGCGUUGGUUGCUUAAAACAGCAGGACGGUGGACAUGGAAGUCGUAAUCCGCUAAGGACUGAAGUGGAGAAGGGUUUCGUGUGAACAGUGGUUGAUCACGAGUUAGUCGGUCCUAAGUUUAAGGCGAAAGCCGAAAAUUUUCAAGUUAAAAUGAAUAAUAAUAAAACACUUGAAUAAUUUUGAACGAAAGGGAAUACGGUUCCAAUUCCGUAACCUGUUGAGUAUCCGUUUGUUAUUAAAUAUGGGCCUUGUGCUCAUCCUGGCAACAGGAACGACCAUAAAGAAGCCGUCGAGAGAUAUCGGAAGAGUUUUCUUUUCUGUUUUAUAGUCGUACUACCAUGGAAGUCUUUCGAAGAGAGAUAUGGUAGAUGGACUAGAAGAGCAUGACAUUUACUGUUGUGUCGAUAUUUUCUCCUCGGACCUUGAAAAUUUAUGGUGGGGUCACGCAAACUUCUCAACAGGCCGUACCAAUAUCCGCAGCUGGUCUCCAAGGUGAAGAGUCUCUAGUCGAUAGAAUAAUGUAGGUAAGGGAAGUCGA